ACGUAGGGUGCAAGCGUUAAUCGGAAUUACUGGGCGUAAAGCGCACGCAGGCGGUCUGUCAAGUCGGAUGUGAAAUCCCCGGGCUCAACCUGGGAACUGCAUUCGAAACUGGCAGGCUAGAGUCUUGUAGAGGGGGGUAGAAUUCCAGGUGUAGCGGUGAAAUGCGUAGAGAUCUGGAGGAAUACCGGUGGCGAAGGCGGCCCCCUGGACAAAGACUGACGCUCAGGUGCGAAAGCGUGGGGAGCAAACAGGAUUAGAUACCCUGGUAGUCCACGCCGUAAACGAUGUCGACUUGGAGGUUGUGCCCUUGAGGCGUGGCUUCCGGAGCUAACGCGUUAAGUCGACCGCCUGGGGAGUACGGCCGCAAGGUUA
rnacentral:rRNA from 1 species